rnacentral:rRNA from 1 species
AGUUUGAUCCUGGCUCAGGAUGAACGCUAGCGGCAGGCCUAAUACAUGCAAGUCGAACGGUGAUAGCAAUAUCAUAGUGGCGCACGGGUGCGUAACACGUAUGCAACCUACCUUAUACUGAGGGAUAGCCUUUCGAAAGGGAGAUUAAUACCUCAUAACACAUUGAACUGGCAUCAGUUUAUUGUUAAGGAUUUAUUGGUAUAAGAUGGGCAUGCGUCCAAUUAGUUAGUUGGCGAGGUAACGGCUCACCAAGACGAUGAUUGCUAGGGGAACUGAGAGGUUAAUCCCCCACACUGGCACUGAGAUACGGGCCAGACUCCUACGGGAGGCAGCAGUAGGGAAUAUUGGGCAAUGGAGGCAACUCUGACCCAGCCAUGCCGCGUGCAGGAAGAAGGCGUUAUGCGUUGUAAACUGCUUUUAUAUAGGAAGAAAUAGACCUUGCGAGGUAAGUUGACGGUACUAUAUGAAUUAGCACUGGCUAACUCCGUGCCAGCAGCCGCGGUAAUACGGAGGGUGCAAGCGUUGUCCGGAUUUAUUGGGUUUAAAGGGUGCGUAGGCGGUUUAUUAAGUCAGUGGUGAAAGACGGUCGCUCAACGAUUGCAGUGCCAUUGAUACUGGUAGACUUGAGUGGGAUUGAGGUAGCUGGAAUGGAUAGUGUAGCG